ACAGAUAAGGAGCUUGCUCCUUUGACGUUAGCGGCGGACGGGUGAGUAACACGUGGGUAACCUACCUAUAAGACUGGGAUAACUUCGGGAAACCGGAGCUAAUACCGGAUAACAUUUGGAACCGCAUGGUUCUAAAGUGAAAGAUGGUUUUGCUAUCACUUAUAGAUGGACCCGCGCCGUAUUAGCUAGUUGGUAAGGUAACGGCUUACCA
rnacentral:rRNA from 1 species